AUGGAUCGCAAAGGAUCAACAGGUCCUCUCAUAUCUGCUAAACUCUAUGACACCAGAAAUUCUUGGAUAGGUUGUUGGGAAGGAAUCCACCUUCGAGCUUUGGACAACCGUGACAAUGCUCUUCGCUUCCCAGUCGCAGUCCAGGAUCACAAACUUGAGGAUUGGAUCACCACAACCAAGAAGGGCUCUAUGUCAAGCUCUGCUUUCAUGUCGAAGAUGAAGAAUCUUGCAGAUGAACUAGCUGUUGCUGGCCGUCCGGUGUCAGAUCCGGAGAUGGUGGACUAUAUCUUGGCAGGACUAGAUCGUGACUAUGAUCCGGUGGUUGCGGCAAUUGGUGUUGUCAAGAAUCAGAUUACGCCAGAUGAUCUUUUUGCGCAAAUCUUCGCCUUUGACCAGAGGAUGGAGAUGCUCGGCGAUCCAUCAUCAGGCAGCUUCCACACUUCUGCUAAUGCGGCGUACAGAGGCCGUGGCCAAGCUCGUGGAAGAUCCUACCGCGGGCGAGGAGGAAGGGGGCGCGGUCGUGGCGAUCUACAGCCCUCUCCUGCCGGUGGAGGCGGCGGCAACAGAGGACGUUCUCGACAACAACAGCAGCUCGGGCGUGAUCAACAGCAUGACUACCCUGAAUGUCAGAUCUGUCUUAAACAUCAUCCAGGGGGUGCACGCUCAUGUUGGUGGCGCUAUGAAGAAAACGACCAGGAGGAGAAGGGGGCACAUGCUGUCUCCUACGGUGUGGAUACGAAUUGGUAUGCUGACUCCGGAGCUACAAACCACAUUACCGGCGAACUUGACAAGCCGACAAUGCGGGAAAGGUACAAUGAAGGCGAUCAAAUUCACACGGCAAGUGGUUCAGGUAUGGAGAUCACACAUAUUGGCAGUACGAUUGUUAAAAACCCCGUAAAACAUCUGCACUUGAAAGAUGUCUUACAUGUUCUCGAAACAUUCAAAAAUCUUAUUUCUGUCCAUAGAUUCACUCUUGACAACAAUGUUCUUAUAGAGUUUUAUCCUCACUUUUUCUUGGUUAAGGACCUAGCAACAAGGAGAAUCAUUCUUAGAGGACGGUGA
rnacentral:rRNA from 1 species